UUGGAUACCCUGGCAGACUGCUCUCUUCUCUAAUACCUCUUCAGUGGCUGGAAACUGAGAACAGCAGUGUGAACUUCACACAUUGUCCUGCAAAUGUGCUUUCAUCCUGACCUGACCUGACAACUUCUGGGGAUGAUGAGGUAGUUCAGUCUCUAUGCCCAUUCAGCCUGUUUCUUAU
rnacentral:sRNA from 1 species